AGCAAAUUUACAGAUCUAACAUUGUUGGGUUGAUGUUUAGACGAGUUGUAUAUACAUUAUGUACACAGCCAUGUAUCACCAUCAUUGAUGGCGAUCCGAUGGAUACAUCUGUUGUAGGGUUGUCACUGACUCAGACGUACUUAUGAAUAUAAUUAUUUUCUGUGACUGUAUCUUACAUUAAUUUGUAGGAUCCUUUACUAUAGAUAAUUUAGCUGAUCUGUAACAAUAACAUCUUCAUGCCUUAUAUAUCAUGUACUGUAGUACGCCGCUAGAUUAAAACUGACGUGGAAAGGUAACACAUGGCCAGCGAAAGCUCUUUUAUUGAGAGCCCAGGUGGUCGUGAGGUCUAGCGGGACGACUGCAGUGCAGGCGAUUUGGUGUCACGAUAUCACAGUAGCAUGGGUUCGAAUCCCGGCGAGGGAAGAACCAAACAUUUGCGAAAGCAAAUUUACAGAUCUAACAUUGUUGGGUUGAUGUUUAGACGAGUUGUAUAUAUGUUCCGGACCAUAUGAGUAUUUGGACCAUACGCGUAUGGUCAUGACCAUAUGGGUAUAUACUCAUAUGGUCCGACCAUACGCGUAUGGUCCGACCGUACGCGUAUGGUCGGGGUAAUUGACACUCUGUAACAGUUUACUUUUAAUACUUUUAAACUCUUCAUAUGGUAUGACCGUUCAUUAAAAAGACGCUAUCAUAUAGGUAAUUUUAUUUUUAUAUUAUAAUGAAAAG
rnacentral:lncRNA from 1 species